UAUUCGGUAGCCUAGUGGUUAGAGAGUCCGCCUCGGAUGCGGGAGGUCAUGAGCUCUAUCCCCGGUCGAGUAA